rnacentral:rRNA from 1 species
CCUACGGGUGGCAGCAGUGGGGAAUAUUGCACAAUGGGCGCAAGCCUGAUGCAGCCAUGCCGCGUGUGUGAAGAAGGCCUUCGGGUUGUAAAGCACUUUCAGCGGGGAGGAAGGCGGUGAGGUUAAUAACCUCAUCGAUUGACAUUACCCGCAGAAGAAGCACCCGCUAACUCCGUGUCAGCAGCCGCGGUAAUACGGAGGGUGCAAGCGUUAAUCGGAAUUACUGGGCGUAAAGCGCACGCAGGCGGUCUGUCAAGUCGGAUGUGAAAUCCCCGGGCUCAACCUGGGAACUGCAUUCGAAACUGGCAGGCUAGAGUCUUGUAGAGGGGGGUAGAAUUCCAGGUGUAGCGGUGAAAUGCGUAGAGAUCUGGAGGAAUACCGGUGGCGAAGGCGGCCCCCUGGACAAAGACUGACGCUCAGGUGCGAAAGCGUGGGGAGCAAACAGGAUUAGAUACCCGAGUAGUC